rnacentral:rRNA from 1 species
GAUGAACGCUGGCGGCGUGCCUAAUACAUGCAAGUCGAGCGAACAGACGAGGAGCUUGCUCCUCUGACGUUAGCGGCGGACGGGUGAGUAACACGUGGAUAACCUACCUAUAAGACUGGGAUAACUUCGGGAAACCGGCUCUAACACCGGAACAUAUAUUGAACCGCGUGGUUCAAGAGUGAAAGAGGGUUUUGCUGUCACUUAUAGAGGGUUCCGCGCCGCAUUAGCUAGUUGGUAAGGUAACGGCUUACCAAGGCAACGAUGCGUAGCCGACCUGAGAGGGUGAUCGGCCACACUGGAACUGAGACACGGUCCAGACUCCUACGGGAGGCAGCAGUAGGGAAUCUUCCGCAAUGGGCGAAAGCCUGACGGAGCAACGCCGCGUGAGUGAUGAAGGUCUUCGGAUCGUAAAACUCUGUUAUUAGGGAAGAACAAAUGUGUAAGUAACUAUGCACGUCUUGACGGUACCUAAUCAGAAAGCCACGGCUAACUACGUG